rnacentral:tRNA from 1 species
GGGGUUGUGGCUCAGUGGUAGAGCACUUGCCUGGAAUGUAUGAGGCACUGGGUUCGAUUCUCAGCACCACA